rnacentral:rRNA from 1 species
UACGUAGGAGACAAGCGUUGUCCGGAAUUACUGGGUGUAAAGCGCGUGUAGGCGGUAGGCCAAGUCUGCUGUGAAAUCGCCCGGCUCAACUGGGCGCGGUCGGUGGAAACUGGUCAACUGGAGGACGGUAGAGGCGAGUGGAAUUCCCGGUGUAGUGGUGAAAUGCGUAGAGAUCGGGAGGAACACCAGUGGCGAAGGCGGCUCGCUGGGCCGGUCCUGACGCUGAGACGCGAAGGCGUGGGUAGCAAACAGG